GCAUGAGAGGGAGAGAGAGCGCUAGACAUGACAGACAACAGGUCUAGCUGCAAGUAGAGUGAAGGACACUUCUGUGCUAGUCUCACCAGAUCACACAGAGAGAGAGAGAGAGAGAGAGAGAGCGAGAGGAGGGGGGUGACGGGAGGAGGAAGACGCAGAGAUGAAGGAAGGCUCAUCUAUCUGUGUUGAGCACAUGUAUUGUAUGUAUACUUGUGUGUGUGGGUGUGUGAGUGUUAGAGCAUGGAGCAGCCCGAGGGAACAGAGCUGACUAAACUCCAUUUUCCAGCUGCCUGAACAAGCCAAUCAGCCACGAACCUCAGAGCCUCUGUUUCCGGAGGACGGGAGAGGACAAUCGCCACAGCGACAUUGCAUUGAGAUGACAUCACUGAUAGGGGGAAGAAAAUAUGCUUUUUAAAUGUGGGUUUAUUAGAUGUAUACAUAUAUUCUUGCACAGGGUGGAGACUGUGAGUGUGUGUAUGUGUGUAUUCACACAUAUCCAGUGUCUACAAAAAUGACCUCUGUGUUGAAUGUACAAUCACUAAAGCUCAAGUUACUACCAACCCUUCCUCUGUCGGUCUCUCUCUGUUGAGAUAUAAGGUUACCACUGGCUCCAGACAGUGAAGCUAAUACUCCUUCUCCUCCUUCACCUCCCUCUUACCUGACCGGAGGAAGGGAAG